rnacentral:rRNA from 1 species
CCUACGGGGGUCAGCAGUGGGGGAUAUUGGACAAUGGGGGAAACCCUGAUCCAGCGACGCCGCGUGAGUGAAGAAGUAUUUCGGUAUGUAAAGCUCUAUCAGCAGGGAAGAAAGAAAGGACGGUACCUGAGUAAGAAGCCCCGGCUAACUACGGGCCAGCAGCCGCGGGUAUACGAAGGGGGCAAGCGUUAUCCGGAAUUACGGGGUGUAAAGGGAUCGUAGACGGUAAUGGAAGUCUGGAGGGAAAGGCGGGGGGCCAACCCCCGGACUGCUCUGGAAACUGUGGAACUGGAGUGCAGGAGAGGCAGGCGGAAUGCGUAGUGUAGCGGUGAAAUGCGUAGAUAUUAGGAGGAACACCAGUGGCGAAGGCGGCCUGCUGGACUCUAACUGACGUUGAGGCUCGAAAGCGUGGGGAGCAAACAGGAUUAGAUACCCGAGUAGUC